GUCUAUGCACACUGACAAGUAGCCUGAGGGCUUGCUGUUGGGUGGGGCUGGUGCCUAGGGCAGGCUGCCUGCCCCAGUUGAACUGGAUUAAAUCUGUGCUCUAGUGGGUGUGGCCAACCCCCCUGGUUUUAAGGCUAGGGCAAGAACUUCACUGGCGUCUGCCAGCGUCUGUGUCAGCGUGCCUGUACUAGGUUACAACAAUAGCCCCCACCAAUGUCUCAGUCUCUGGUGAGGUCUCACCUCUCACCGAGAAGCACCCAGAGCCUACCAGCUUGGACUUGACAGAGCAGUGAUUUAUAACUCCUCCCUUGCUUCUUUCUCCAUGGUGUAAUUUCAGAGCGCAGUGACUGUGGAAUCCAUACAGCACAACAUUUUGUCUACGGCUCCACAUCAUUUGGGCUGCAUCAGCAGCAAGUCAAAAAAUCCAACU
rnacentral:lncRNA from 1 species